GUGCUGUGAGGGCCGAGUUCAUCAAAAGAAUUUCUUCGCUGCCGCUUCCUGUUGGCUUCUGCAGAGAGAGAAGACAAAAGCACAGUCGUUAUAUUAAAAACCAGCAUUAAUUCUUCAGCAGUUUAAACUACAGUAGCUCAUCUGAUGGAUCGGACCACACGUGCAUCAAUGAACCUUGACCGCCCAUGACCCUGUUGCCGGUUUACCACUGUUCCUUCCUUGGACCACUUUUGAUAGAUACCGACCACUGCAGACCAGGAACACCCCACAAGAGCUGCAGUUUUGCAGAUGCUCUGACCCAGUCGUCUAGACAUCACAAUCUGGCCCUCGUCAAACUCGCGCAAAUCUACAAUCUACGUCUACAAUCCAAAACGUUUCAUGUUUAUUAAAAGUCUUAAGGUCACAAAGAAGCACGUGGAUGGAGGUGGAACUGAAGUCAAGGCAUCAGAAUUAAGACAGCAGAUAAAACUCACUUGUAAA